UCCCAUUCGUCAGUUCUCAAACAAGUACAAAAGCUUGAUAUAGACUCAUGAUUACCCUGUCUGCAGCAUCCUAUCUUCGUCAUGACAUGAUUUGUCUCCUCUUUCAUGAAUUAUCUAUCAUUGGAAAAAUAAGCACGAUAGAAAAAAAUCGAAUAAGCAUCGGACUUGGGGAAUUUGUGAAAGGGGAUGGGGUUAACAUAUAUAGGCCUGAGGCCAGAAUUAUAGUUGGAUAACUAAUGUGCAUGGGGCUCUGAGGACCUUUAGUACAAUCCAUUUAAGACCCACAUACCCACUCUGCGAUCUCUACAAUUCAUCGUCAACUGUGGCAUACUCUUGUUGGUUAUGAUUGUUUACGUGACUAAGAUGAAGAUAAAAGGUUCUUCAUCUCGAAUGAGCGAACUACAGACCUAAUGAAGUUGUCUCUUUUCACAUUUUAUGAUCGUUGACAUUUCAGUCAUUAGAUUAGAAUAUCAAAUCAUUCAUUUCAAUUGAAUAAUAAUCAAUGCUUUCUGAAUCAUCUGAUAGAACCAAUUAUGUCUACCAGUUGAAGCCUUCUCCAUUAACUAUCAACCUUAAAAAUCUAUCUUCUUUAUGGUUUUCCCAUGCUAUAGUCCUGCUUAUGUAAAGGGGGUCUAAUUGAAUCCUUAGCUAGUCUGGUGCCACUAUUUGUUGUUGCCAGGACUAAUAGACCUCCACAUUGGCGCAUGUUAGCAGCCAAAUGAAAAGCAAUUAGCAUUGGUGGUAAUUGUUGGAAAUAGGAGGCUAUAUAUAUAUAUAUAUAUAUAUAUUAUUUGUGGAGGAGAGGAUUGAUGAUUUAGAAGCUUGAUUGAUCUUGAAUGCUUUGCUUAUUGCUUAAUUACAA
rnacentral:lncRNA from 1 species